AAUUGUGGCCAUACCAUUCUAAGUGUACCUGAUAUCAUCUGAUCUAAGAAGCUAAGAAGGGCUGGGUCUUCUUAGCACUGGAUGGGAGACAAUUCAAAGUGACAGUCUAUGACAAUAU
rnacentral:rRNA from 1 species